UACGUAGGGUGCGAGCGUUGUCCGGAAUUAUUGGGCGUAAAGAGCUCGUAGGCGGUUUGUCGCGUCGGCCGUGAAAACUUGGGGCUUAACUCCAAGCUUGCGGUCGAUACGGGCAGACUUGAGUUCGGCAGGGGAGACUGGAAUUCCUGGUGUAGCGGUGAAAUGCGCAGAUAUCAGGAGGAACACCAAUGGCGAAGGCAGAUCUCUGGGCCGUAACUGACGCUGAGGAGCGAAAGCAUGGGGAGCGAACAGG
rnacentral:rRNA from 1 species